rnacentral:misc_RNA from 1 species
AAGUCGUAACAAGGUUUCCGUAGGUGAACCUGCGGAAGGAUCAUCAAUAAUGUAGACCGUUAUAAUGGUCUGAUCUUUAUAUUAUACUAGAAUUAGGAUAGUGGAAUAUUCUACUUGACUGAUGACCGAUUUUCAUGGUCUAAAUUUGACCGACCUUGAUUAGUGGUGGUGUAUAUUUCCACGGAUCAAUAUAGGGUGUUUAGGUCUUUAUUUAUAUUAAACUUGAUAGGCGACAUGCCAUUGAACAGGAUAACAGACCAGUUUAGGUGUAAUGCCUCUGGUGUAAAAAAAAAAAGAUUAAAACUUUCGGCAAUGGAUCUCUCGGCUCUCC